AUGUUGCCAGCCAUGGAGGAGCCCCUUGUUGGGGGCAACAGCAGCGCUGAGGAGACAGGAGGGCCAAAAGAGAGCUUGGUGGUGACCGAGGUUAAGAAGCAGCUGUACCUCGCCGGGCCCCUCAUCGCCGGAUGCCUCUUGCAGAGCGUCGUGCAGAUGAUAUCGGUCAUGUUUGUCGGCCAUCUCGGUGAGCUCGCUCUCUCGAGUGCCUCCAUCGCCACCUCCUUUGCCGGUGUCACCGGCUUCAGCUUGUUGUCUGGCAUGGCGAGCAGCUUGGACACACUGUGUGGGCAAGCCUUUGGGGCAAAACGGUACCAUCUGCUCGGCAUCUACAAGCAGAGGGCCAUCCUUGUGCUCACUCUGGUGAGCGUUGUGGUUGCGGUGCUCUGGGCGUACACUGGGCAGAUCCUCCUGCUCUUCGGCCAGGACCCGGAGAUUGCCAUGGGGGCAGGGAGCUACAUCCGGUGGAUGAUUCCAGCACUGUUCGCUUACGGACUGCUGCAGUGCCAUGUCCGGUUCCUCCAGACACAGAACAUUGUCCUCCCGGUGAUGGCGAGCGCAGGCGUCACGGCGCUGAGCCACGUGCUUGUGUGCUGGUUGCUGGUGUACAAGCUUGGGCUGGGCAACAAGGGCGCUGCCCUGGCCAAUGGCAUCUCAUACCUGGCCAAUGUGUCAAUCUUGGCUAUCUACAUCAGGGUCUCUCCAUCCUGCAGGAGCACCUGGACAGGCCUCUCAAAGGAGGCGUUUCACGACAUCCUUAGCUUCAUGAAGCUUGCCGUGCCAUCUGCGCUGAUGGUUUGCCUAGAGUGGUGGUCGUUUGAGCUGCUGGUACUUCUCUCCGGACUUCUCCCAAAUCCUAAGCUGGAGGCAUCGGUGUUGUCCAUUUGUUUGAACACAAGUUCAUUAGCAUUCAUGAUCCCCUUCGGUCUUGGGGCAGCCAUAAGCACCCGUGUUUCAAAUGAGCUUGGUGCUGGGCGACCUGAAGCUGCCCGUCUGGCUACUCGUGUGAUCAUGGUUCUUGGCCUUGCGACUGGUGUGUCUUUAGGACUUAUUAUGCUCUCGGGGCGCAAUCUAUGGGGGUACGCAUACAGCAAUGAGAAUGAGGUGGUGGAAUACAUUGCAAGAAUGAUGCCGCUUCUUUCCGUGACGAUCAUUUUCGACGAUCUACAAUGUGUUCUUUCAGGUAUUGUCAGAGGCUGUGGCUUGCAAAGGAUUGGUGCUUGUGUGAAUCUCAGCGCGUACUACCUUGUCGGCAUUCCGGCGGCGCUAUGCUUUGCCUUUGUCUACCAUCUUGGCGGAAUGGGGCUGUGGUUCGGAAUAAUCUGUGGGAUAGUGGUACAGAUGCUGCUGCUGCUGAGCAUUACCAUGCGCACCAACUGGGAUAAAGAGGCUCUCAAGGCAAAGGACAGAGUUUUCAGUUCGUCCCUGCCUCUAGACAUGACGACAUAA
rnacentral:rRNA from 1 species